AUCAACAAUCAUGACAGUAAUGCUGCUCUCCUUCUAAACAGGGCAUUUCAUAAGUUUGAAUUUGACGAUGUACGAAAACUUGCUGCUGAGCUUUGUGGUCGCAUUCACCCCCAAGUUCUAUUUCCAAUUCUUUGCACCCAGUUAGAGCAUGCAGCAGUUCUCAGGAUAU